UACGUAGGGUGCGAGCGUUGUCCGGAAUUAUUGGGCGUAAAGAGCUCGUAGGCGGUCUGUCGCGUCGAUCGUGAAAACUUGGGGCUUAACCCUGAGCUUGCGGUCGAUACGGGCAUGACUGGAGUUCGGCAGGGGAGACUGGAAUUCCUGGUGUAGCGGUGAAAUGCGCAGAUAUCAGGAAGAACACCCGUGGCGAAAGCGGCUCUCUGGAACGGUACUGACGCUGAGACGCGAAAGCGUGGGGAGCAAACAGG
rnacentral:rRNA from 1 species